CGCGUAGGCGGUGCGGUAAGUCACCUGUGAAACCUCCGGGCUCAACUCGGAGCCUGCAGGCGAAACUGCCGUGCUGGAGUGUGGGAGGGUGCGUGGAAUUCCCGGUGUAGCAGUGAAAUGCGUAGAGAUCGGGAGGAACACCUGUGGCGAAAGCGGCGCACUGGACCACAACUGACGCUGAGGCGCGAAAGCUAGGGGAGCAAACAGGAUUAGAUACCCUGGUAGUCCUAGCCCUAAACGAUGGAUGCUUGAUGUAGCCGGUACCCAAUCCGGCUGUGCCGCAGCUAACGCGAUAAGCAUCCCGCCUGGGGAGUACGGUCGCAAGGCUGAA
rnacentral:rRNA from 1 species